rnacentral:snRNA from 1 species
GAAUCCUGACAGCAUCCACUCU